UAGUAUUUAAAUUGUAGGUGAGGAGGCAACAUAUUCCGGAAGAAGGUUAGAAAGAUGAGACAGGCGGCUUCUAUUCCUCAAUUUGUGGUGGGUGUUUUUGCAACUUUACUUAUUCUCAUCUUGCUCAUUGUUUACGCUUUCAACGGAUUCUUGACCACCUCUGAUAUUCUCUUCCUCAUUUUCUUAGUGGGUGGGUUUUCGUUUACGACAGUGGAAAUUGGAUUAUCGUUAUGUUGGAAAGGGGAAGAGAGCAGCCCUUUAUUAGGUGAGGUACCACCAUCUUAUGCCGUGGACAUCCCUAUUGGAUCACAAGAUUCACACACCCAAUCAUUACCGUAGAUCUUAUCAUUAAAUCUCCCUUGUAAUUAUUGCUCAAAUUCUCCCGUUAGAGGAUGUCUCAUUUUCACAAAUUUAAUUGUUAAAACUCUAAUUUUUCCAUCUCAA